rnacentral:rRNA from 1 species
GACGGGGGAUGCGAGCGUUAUCCGGAAUGAUUGGGCGUAAAGGGUCCGCAGGUGGCCCGGUCAGUCCGCUGUCAAAGCCUGGGGCUCAACCCUGGAGAGGCGGCGGAGACCACCGGGCUUGAGUCCGGUAGGGGCAGAGGGAAUUCCCGGUGGAGCGGUGAAAUGCGUAGAGAUCGGGAAGAACGCCAGUGGCGAAGGCGGCUGCCUGGGCCUGGCCUGACGCUGAGGCGCGAAAGCGUGGGGAGCAAUCCGG